rnacentral:rRNA from 1 species
GAGAGAGCUUGCUCUCUUGGCGGCGAGUGGCGGACGGGUGAGUAAUAUAUCGGAACGUGCCCAGUAGCGGGGGAUAACUACUCGAAAGAGUGGCUAAUACCGCAUACGCCCUACGGGGGAAAGGGGGGGAUCGCAAGACCUCUCACUAUUGGAGCGGCCGAUAUCGGAUUAGCUAGUUGGUGGGGUAAAGGCUCACCAAGGCAACGAUCCGUAGCUGGUUUGAGAGGACGACCAGCCACACUGGGACUGAGACACGGCCCAGACUCCUACGGGAGGCAGCAGUGGGGAAUUUUGGACAAUGGGGGAAACCCUGAUCCAGCCAUCCCGCGUGUAUGAUGAAGGCCUUCGGGUUGUAAAGUACUUUUGGCAGAGAAGAAAAGGUAUCCCCUAAUACGGGAUACUGCUGACGGUAUCUGCAGAAUAAGCACCGGCUAACUACGUGCCAGCAGCCGCGGUAAUACGUAGGGUGCAAGCGUUAAUCGGAAUUACUGGGCGUAAAGCGUGUGUAGGCGGUUCGGAAAGAAAGAUGUGAAAUCCCAGGGCUCAACCUUGGAACUGCAUUUUUAACUGCCGAGCUAGAGUAUGUCAGAGGGGGGUAGAAUUCCACGUGUAGCAGUGAAAUGCGUAGAUAUGUGGAGGAAUACCGAUGGCGAAGGCAGCCCCCUGGGAUAAUACUGACGCUCAGACACGAAAAGCGUGGGGGAGCAAACAGGAUUAGAUACCCUGGUAGUCCACGCCCUAAACGAUGUCAACUAGCUGUUGGGGCCGUUAGGCCUUAGUAGCGCAGCUAACGCGUGAAGUUGACCGCCUGGGGAGUACGG